rnacentral:rRNA from 1 species
CCUACGGGAGGCAGCAGUGAGGAAUAUUGGUCAAUGGACGAGAGUCUGAACCAGCCAAGUAGCGUGAAGGAUGACUGCCCUAUGGGUUGUAAACUUCUUUUAUAUGGGAAUAAAAUGUUCCACGUGUGGGAUUUUGUAUGUACCAUAUGAAUAAGGAUCGGCUAACUCCGUGACAGCAGCCGCGGUUAUACGGAGGAUCCGAGCGUUAUCCGGAUUUAUUGGGUUUAAAGGGAGCGUAGGUUGGUUGUUAAGUCAGUUGUGAAAGUUUGCGGCUCAACCGUACAAUUGCAGUUGCAACUGGCAGUCGUGAGUACAGUAGAGGUGGGCGGAAUUCGUGGUGUAGCGGUGAAAUGCUUAGAUAUCACGAAGAACUCCGAUUGCGAAGGCAGUUCACUGGACUGCAACUGACACUGAGGCUCGAAAGUGUGGGUAUCAAACAGGAUUAGAUACCCCAGUAGUC